rnacentral:rRNA from 1 species
UCUACGACUCUCGGCAACGGAUAUCUCGGCUCUCGCAUCGAUGAAGAACGUAGCGAAAUGCGAUACUUGGUGUGAAUUGCAGAAUCCCGUGAACCAUCGAGUCUUUGAACGCAAGUUGCGCCCGAGGCCUUUCGGUUGAGGGCACGCCUGCCUGGGCGUCACGC